rnacentral:rRNA from 1 species
AUUGAACGCUGGCGGCAGGCCUAACACAUGCAAGUCGAGCGGAGCGGCGGACGGGUGAGCACUGCCUAGGAAUCUGCCUGGUAGUGGGGGAUAACGUCCGGAAACGGGCGCUAAUACCGCAUACUAUCAGUUGAGCCUAGGUCGGAUUAGCUAGCUGGUGGGGUAAAGGCCUACCAAGGCGACGCUCCCUAGAUGGUCUGAAAGGAUGACCAGUCAGAUUGGAAUAGAGACACGUUCCAGCCUCCUACGAUAGGAAGCUGUGGGGAAUAGUGCACAAUAGAGGCAAGCCUGAUGCAGCCAUGCCGCGUGUAGUAAGAAGGCCUUCGGGUUAUAAAGCACUUUCAGCGGGGAGGCGGUACGUGAAGUAGAAGCACCGGCUGACUCCGUGCCAGCAGCCGCAGUAAUAC